rnacentral:rRNA from 1 species
GACGAACGCUGGCGGCGUGCUUAACACAUGCAAGUCGAACGGAAAGGCCCUGCUUUUGUGGGGUGCUCGAUUGGCGAACGGGUGAGUAACACGUGAGUAACCUGCCCUUGACUUUGGGAUAACUUCAGGAAACUGGGUCUAAUACCGGAUAGGAGCUCCUGCUGCAUGGUGGGGGUUGGAAAGUUUCGGCGGUUGGGGAUGGACUCGCGGCUUAUCAGCUUGUUGGUGGGGUAGUGGCUUACCAAGGCUUUGACGGGUAGCCGGCCUGAGAGGGUGACCGGCAACAUUGGGACGGAGAUACGGCCCAGAAUCAUACGGGAGGCAGCAGUGGGGAAGAUUGCACAAUGGGCGGAAGCCUGAUGCAGCAACGCCGCGUGCGGGAUGACGGCCUUCGGGUUGUAAACCGCUUUCGCCUGUGACGAAGCGUGAGUGACGGUAAUGGGUAAAGAAGCACCGGCUAACUACGUG